UAGGAGCAUGACAGUUAAAAAAAGCAUGGUUUUCAUUGGUUCAUAUAUGUGUUAAUAUAUGUGUGACCUUCCAUAGGAGUUCACGUGCAUAUGUAAUAAGCUAAAUAUGUGUCUGUGGUUUUCAUUGGUUAAUGUGAGUGACCUAUCAUCAGAGGUCACUUGCAUGUGUAAUCAGCCGAAUAGUACGCUACAUAAUCUCACAUAUGAGAGCUGAAUAUGUUGGAUUAAGUUUUUGUUCUAUACUUUAGGUGUUUAUUCCAAGUUACCACCUUGUUAUUGUAACCAGAUAUCCACACCAUUCUUGGAUUCUAAAGUAAUGCAUUUAUGAAAACAGUUAGCCUAUAUAGCCUUCACCUUCAUCGAACACGGCGGGAUAACUGGUUGCAGUUAUCGUUCGCGUAGUAUCGCUGGAAGCACAUGCGUCUCUCCGGCUCACCUGCAAAUCAAAUUUCUAGCGUAGCGUCUAGACACUUUGCCUUCUAAAGAGUUGGAUUCGUUUUGUUGGAUGUUGUUGUAUGCUGUUCUUGUUUGUUACUGUAACUUAUUUUGCAUACUAUUAUUCUUUUCAGCAACUGUUUUCUGCGUUUUCUCUCUCGUUCCAGGUCAGGACACUUUACAUCUACAACGCAGUAAUGGCGAGUGGCAUUGUCUCUGUUAGCGGACAUCCUACGACACGGCCAGAGCUUGGUGGACCAAGUACUCUUUCAACUGUUUUGAUUGGACCAUCUUGAGAUCCUGUAUUGGAGACUCUAAAUAAAUGUAACAGAGCCAUGCUUUUCUCUGCUAUGAUGGAUUCAGACCUUUUUAACAGCGGCUUUGUCUCCAAAACCCGUAGACAACUCCCUGAAAUGGAAAGAAAAGUCUUAGACCUAGCUGCGGCCACAGAUAUUGUACAGGCAUUUUCUACUCCAUUGCCUUUACACAGGGAAGUCAGAUGUUUGUGUCCUAUUUUAAAAGUGGGUGCUUCUCUGGAAUCAGGCCAUCCAUUUCCAAUGUUCUUCAGGAAUCGGAUUCAACAGUCACUCAACUUUUACCAUAUAGAAUACUCACCCACAAAGACUUGAACAAGAAAGUUCUACAGCAGCAAAAGGCAGCACUCUCUCGAAGCAAAAGCCAUGUGAAACAGAAUGGGCAUACUGAUGGACCCAAGAGACAAUGCUACAGCCAGUAUUUCAACAGCAGAUGGAGUAUAUGCAAAGUAGUGUUUGAUAAGUUGUCCAUUCUUGCACAGUCUGAAGACAUAUCCAACAAGCUUCAGGUAUCAUCUGUGAUUUUCAACUGUGUCAAGAAGAAUGCAGAUGAAAAUCACAUCCAUGAUAGGCCUCUACACAUAUUUGGGCUUCAUGACACUGAUACACUUUUGCAAGUUCUAAAGGAUCACAGAAUCCAUGGAAACCACGUUGUAGAUGACCCUGUGGACUUCAGCAGCUUGAAAAAAGAAAUAAAACCAAAAAGUGUUGAAGAAGAGUUCCACAUUUUGUCAUCAGUAUCAAACUAUCACUGGGACAAUGACCAAAAAGCGAGCUACAUGCAGUACUUUUCUACAUACAAUGAAGACACAAGGAAGUACCCUACCUCUUUAAGAAAUAAAAUCAUAUUUCACUUCUGAAUUGGAUGUCAAGAAAAGUAUAGACAAAGUGUGAAGAUGCUUUCUGCUCAACAUGCUCAGGGAAACAGUGAAAACUGCACUCACUCAUCAUCGCUGUUUGACAACUUCUCAACACGUCUCAUUGAAGGUGGCACUAUUCUCUGGCAGUCUCAUUCCUUUACAAAGGAUGUGUUGAUUAUGAGUGACUAUUGUCCUGAAAGUGGAAAGUUCAAGCCCCAGUCAUACUGCAAAGUGACAAUGCUUCAUGAGGAGGAGGAUACAACACAUGUCCAGUGUUCUUGUUCUGUUUACAAGAUGUCAUGUUAAUGAAAGUUACAUUGAAAAUGACAGCACAGAAGAAACAUCUAGACACAUCAGGUGUUACAUGCAUGCAUGCCCGAUUUGUGAAAGAGUAUUUACUGCAAGAUUAUCACAAUCUCUUCAAUUCAGAAUUUCAACCUGAAUCUGACAAAGAUAAAAAGUUAAGGGAUUCAAUGUUAGUGCAAAAUCAGGAAAUAGUGCUGGUUGCAGAAUCUCCUCGUGUAACCAAAUAUACAGUCAAAGGAAGAAAUGAAAGUGUUGAAUUUGUACAUGUCAACAAUAAUACCUGGACUAUUUCAUGUCAAUCAGGACUUUGUUCUGUUGGAAAAUCUAAAACUGUAAAGAACUUAGAGGGAUCCCAAAGGAUCUGUCCACAUUUAUUGUCAAUGAAAGAAAACCAACAACUCUGGAUUCCUUCACAUCAACUGAGAGCACUUCUACCCCGGUACAUUCACUGAAAAGUCAAACUUCAAUGUCGACACUGGCUUCUGGGACUUUGGAUCACUGAGUAAACAUAUUCCAACUCCUCAGAGUUGCCCAAAAUAUAGGGAAAAUAUCCACUUGCAUGAAAAAUGGUGCUUUCAGCACCAAACAGAUGAAUCUGGUUUUGUCAGUAUUACCUUGCUUUGUCCUGCACUACCAGAAAACUGUUCAUGUGGGUGCACCUUCCAUGAUGUACAAACACCAGAUGGCAUUAACCUACUACAGCAGCACAGCACGAAAACAACUUUACACCCGACUAGCCCCUAUUAUGGCAACUGUUUGCUGUGUCAUACAGAGGAAGAGGACAGUAUUCAUUUUUGGAGGAAGAAACCACCAUUGUUGAUGAACUGUCAUGACUUUUUGUAUAGAAUUACAAGCUUUUCAAGUGACAGUGUCACAUUCACUGGUUACUGCAAAGAAAUGGAUCGUAUGUACAAGUCAAGACACAAUGAAUCCAGUUUUAUGUCUCAGAGUACAUUUAACAACUGUUUUUUUCUCCUGGGCAGCUAAUAUGAAGAUUGACUUCAGGAAGAUUGGAGAUCCAUUCUGUAAAUCUUCCGAAGUACUUGCAUGUGAUGGAACCAGUCAGUUUUAGAGAUGUCAAACUUAUUCGGCCCGAAAUACAUAAUCUUUUGCAGAGUUCUUACACAUCACAAUUUGCAGCUGAAAUACAUGUACAUUAUUUCAUAGUGUACCUUGCAGACUAUGCAAAGAACUUGCUUACACAUUUACCUGCUUACCAGGAUGCACAUAGCAUCCCUAAAUCUUACAAUCCAGAAAGUGGCGUGGCAUAUCGUUUUACCGAAAGUGGAGAACAGGUUAGAAAACUCCCUAUCUACAACAUAAACAAGAUCAGCAAAACUAAAAUUUAUGAUGACCUACCAGCAGCAGAUGAAAGAUGUAACAAAGACUUCCCUAGAGUCAGCACAAGUGGACACAGUAGUUUGUUUUUCUGGUUUUUACCCAUUCAUGGUCAUUGUCUUGGGUUCCACAUAAUUCCUGAAAGCGAAGGCAGAAAAGAUCCAUUUGCUUCCAUGUUCAGGUACCUGCCUGAACCACUGACACAUGUACUUUAUGACUUUGCUUGUUCACUUUCUGAAUACUGCUUGAAUAGAGAACCUUCAUUCUUUAAAGACACUUGAUUCUUCCAUGAUUAUUUCCAUGGUUGUACGCAUGUAUGUGGCGACGCUUUCAAGUCUUCAGUGUUUGAAAAUGUGGGUGUCAACACGGAAAUCUGUGAGCAGUUCAAUUCGUUCCUUACAAAAUAUCAAAGCAACUUCAACUCAUUUGAGCCAGAGCAAGUUUUGUUUUCUUCUCCUUCUGGAGCAAUCAAAAUGGAAUUAGAGAAAAACCGAAAUGUUUUAUCAACGAUUGCAAGUUGCUUUAGAUGGUUCAAAGUAAAAUGUGAUGAAUAGUACUCACUAACAUCAAUGUUGCAUGAUACCGGUGAUGUAGGACUGGUUUUAGGACUGUAUAUUAACGUCGUUCAAGCCCAACUAGGUUACUCAGUGCAUGAGAGGUUUUUCUAGGUACUCAGAUGUUUCAAAUCAAACUGACACUUUGUUCUGUAAUACUCUGCUGUAGAUAUAUGAUAUUUUUCCAGUUAUAUCUAUGUUGUCAUACUGCUUUCCUCAAACUUUUUACAUUUAUGGUUUAUUUUGUUGUAGUUUGAACAGUGAAAUGAGUCAUACAUAGAUUUGUUUAUUUGCUUUAAUGUUAGUCUUAAUAAAAAGAUAAAACUUA
rnacentral:lncRNA from 1 species